rnacentral:rRNA from 1 species
GCUUGAGUNCCUUUCUCAAAGCGCGUUUAUUUGCCAAUUUUGAUCGGCUCGCUCGCCUGAAUUGCGCGGGACGAGUCGAUAAAAGUCGUUGAAUGGCCAGAUAAAUUUGCUGAUCGCACGGUCUUAGUACUGGCGACGAAUCUUUGAAACGACUUGCCUAUCAACUGUCGAUGGCAGGCUACGUGCCUACCAUGGUGACAACGGUUAACGGGGAAUCAGGGUUCGAUUCCGGAGAGAGAGCCUGAGAGACGGCUACCACAUCCAAGGAAGGCAGCAGGCACGCAAAUUACCCACUCCCAGAAUGGGGAGGUAGUGACGAUAAAUAACGGAACGUAUCUCGACGAGACGCGUUACCGGAACGACUGAGCCGUAUACAAGCUCGGCGAAAGCUAUUGGAGGGCAAGUCUGGUGCCAGCAGCCGCGGUAAUUCCAGCUCCAAUAGCGUAUAUUAAACUUGCUGCGGUUGAACCGCUCGUAGUUGGAUUGUGAACCGUGACCACGGUCCUCUAAGUGAAGAGGAAUGGCUUUGCCGCCGUUGGUCGUGAUCAAUGAUGUCAUAGUUGUCCGGAUGCUCUUCAUCGGGUGUCUUGGACGGCAUGAAUGUUUACUUUGAGAAAAUAAGAGCGCCCAAAGCAGGCUGCUAUAUGCUUGAAMSGAAUUUCAUGGGAUAGUGAA